GACGAACCGUGCGAACGUUGUUCGGAAUCACUGGGCUUAAAGGGCGCGUAGGCGGGCCAUAAAGUCAGGGGUGAAAUCCUCCAGCUUAACUGGAGAACUGCCUUUGAUACUGAUGGUCUCGAGUAAGGUAGGGGCAUGCGGAACUGAUGGGUGGAGCGGUGAAAUGUGUUGAUAUCAUCAGGAACUCCGGUGGCGAAGGCGGCAUGCUGGACCUUCACUGACGCUGAGGCGCGAAAGCUAGGGGAGCGAACGGG
rnacentral:rRNA from 1 species